GAUUAUUUCCCUCUGAAAAGAAAGAAUUUGAAUAUUGUUGAACAUACAUAUACUAUUCAGAACCAUAUGGAACAUAUACUAUUCAAAAACAUACUGCAUACUUUGAUCUUAUUGAACGAAGUUGGCAGAGUAUAUGAAGUUCAUCUAUAGCUUCCAGUUUGUACAAAUAAAUAUAGAAAUAUACAGAAAACUUAACCAGAAAAAAUAUGCCACACCAUCAAAUAAACUUUGAAGAAAUUUUGUGAACAUCUCGUUAAUGAUAUCAUGCUUCUUGCUCAACUUGACCAGACACAUUCAACCGCAUGGCCCCAUUGUCUACAACACAACUUGUGCGUGCAAGUUGAUCUUCUCUUAUAUCUGUGCAUCUGAAUGCUUCUUCAAUGUCACCCUUGAAGGUGUAACCUCAUGGGCGAAGACUUCGACACCACAUUGCCGAAUUAUUGACAAACUCAUCUGAAACAGUGAGUAACCACAUUCAUUUUUCCUAGUGCUAUAAGAAAUGGCAGUCUAUAAUAGUCAGGACUAAUUUGGCUUAUGCAAAGGAACAAUAGCACUAUCCAUGUAGGUUGAUAUCAAUUUCCAACAAACAAAGUCAGAUAUCUCUACUAUAAAUGUUCAAGUGUAUGUCAUAACAAAUCCAAAUUAGUAUGACUUCAAAGAAUCAUGUAAGGUCAAUAGCAGUUAUUCGAAAAACGAACAUACAUUUCUCUAGAAGUAGAAAUACCGAUUUGUAGCAUUGACAAGCCAACCAUCUCAAAUGCUACAAAUAUAAAUAAAUCAGUAUAGGUACAUAUGUAUAACCUUUGGCCAACGAUAUAGUACAGAGCCUUGAUUUUGUACUGCUAGGCUCUCCUAUUCUGAUAAUGGAACCCAUGUGCCC
rnacentral:lncRNA from 1 species